rnacentral:misc_RNA from 1 species
CCUGCCCAUUUUUGGUUUCAACAGACAAACUAAGUCUUCAUUUAAGUAGCUGUCCUCCUUUCCGUAAAUAAUUUCCUCUUGCUCUUAGAGGAAUUCAACCUAUCUCUAUUAGGAUCUUUUAGUUGCACUUUGUCUUUGGCCAUGCCAUGGUGUUUUUGAACCAGCCUAUGUCUUGCAGUUCCAGCAUUCGUAGAAGACCCUCUUGCAUUCAAAUUCUUCUUAUUUGCUCUUGACCCGCUAGUUGGGGCAUUUCUACGAGCACGUGACUUACUUUCACAUUCUUCUUCUUCUUCCUCCUCCUCCUCAUCAUCAUCAUCAUAUUUGUAGUCAUCAUCAUUCUCAAAAUCAGAAUCCAUAUCAUUCAUCUCCAGACUACCCUGACAAUCACCUUUUUCUCUUUGUUCUUUAGAAUCAGGGACCGGCUUCUUCCCUUGUGUACUUCCACCAGGCACACCAAUUGCUUUUCGAUCCUCAAUUACAAUGUUCAUGAGAUGAAUAUACCUACUCCUAAUACUAAUCAGUGGAUUCUUCUCUAUUAACAAUCCCCUCUUAUAGGCCUCCCUUAAAACCACGGUAUAAGUUCCCAAUUUACUAGACAAGUAAAAUAUCCCUGGAUGGUGAAGCAAUGCUCUCUUUAACCUUGACCGGAUCCCCAACCACUCUCCCAGACACAAUAAAGCGUCCUUCUCCACCUUCUUUGAAACAAAAAGACGAAUAAUCUCGUGCAGAACCCCCACUGUCCACUUGUCAG